GCUCCAGUGGCGCAAUCGGUUAGCGCGCGGUACUUAUACGGCAGUAUGUGUGCGAGAGAUGCCGAGGCUGUGAGUUCGAUCCUCACCUGGAGCA
rnacentral:tRNA from 1 species